rnacentral:rRNA from 1 species
AUUGAACGCUGGCGGCAUGCCUUACACAUGCAAGUCGAACGGUAACAGGUUAAGCUGACGAGUGGCGAACGGGUGAGUAAUAUAUCGGAACGUGCCCAGUCGUGGCGGAUAACGUAGCGAAAGCUACGCUAAUACCGCAUACGAUCUACGGAUGAAAGCGGGGGAUCGCAAGACCUCGCGCGAUUGGAGCGGCCGAUAUCAGAUUAGGUUGUUGGUGAGGUAAAAGCCCACCAAGGCUGCGAUCUGUAGCUGGUCUGAGAGGACGACCAGCCACACUGGAACUGAGACACAGUACAGACUCCUACGGGAGGCAGCAGUGGGUAAUUUUGGACAAUGGACGCAAGUCUGAUCCAGCAAUGCCGCGUGCAGGACGAAGGCCUUCGGGUUGUAAACUGCUUUUGUACGGAACGAAACGGUGAGCUCUAAUACAGUUUGCUAAUGACGGUACCGUAAGAAUAAGCACCGGCUAACUACGUGCCAGCCGCCGCGGUAA